CUUAAAUUGAAGAGUUUGAUCAUGGCUCAGAUUGAACGCUGGCGGCAGGCCUAACACAUGCAAGUCGAGCGGAAACGAGUUAUCAGAACCUUCGGGGGACGAUAACGGCGUCGAGCGGCGGACGGG
rnacentral:rRNA from 1 species